rnacentral:rRNA from 1 species
GAUGAACGCUGGCGGCGUGCCUAAUACAUGCAAGUCGAGCGAACAGACGAGGAGCUUGCUCCUCUGACGUUAGCGGCGGACGGGUGAGUAACACGUGGAUAACCUACCUAUAAGACUGGGAUAACUUCGGGAAACCGGAGCUAAUACCGUAUAAUAUAUUGAACCGCAUGGUUCAAUAGUGAAAGACGGUUUUGCUGUCACUUAUAGAUGGAUCCGCGCCGCAUUAGCUAGUUGGUAAGGUAACGGCUUACCAAGGCAACGAUGCGUAGCCGACCUGAGAGGGUGGUCGGCCACACUGGAACUGAGACACGGUCCAGACUCCUACGGGAGGCAGCAGUAGGGAAUCUUCCGCAAUGGGCGAAAGCCUGACGGAGCAACGCCGCGUGAGUGAUGAAGGUCUUCGGAUCGUAAAACUCUGUUAUUAGGGAAGAACAAAUGUGUAAGUAACUAUGCACGUCUUGACGGUACCUAAUCAGAAAGCAACGGCUAACUACGUG